CGCGCCGGUCUUUCCGUCCCCGGCUCGGAGGCUGAUCCUCCGCAGCCAGGUCCCCAGUGCUCUCAGGCCGAUCCUCCGCAGCCAGGUCCCCAGCGCUCUCAGUCGUGCGGCAGCUUCUGACCCGAGCGCAGGAGGAAAACUACAAGAAAGAAACUCGUGAGCUGAAUGCCAGGAAGUCGAAGGGGGUAAUGCUCCAAGGUGAAGUAGUCUUCCCCUGCAGUGACACGGCUCGCCAGUGUCUUAUGAUUAUCGGCCUUGUAGCAGACGGUGUCACCCACUUGAUUGAUGAGAUAGGUGCUGAAGCCCAUUUUACAGGAAAGGAGACUGAGGGCCAUAUGAGAUAAUCCCAGAAUAGCCUUAUAAUAAUUGCUUGUGCUGAAGAUGGCCCCCCCCAAAAUACGUUUUUGAUUUUCUUUUUUUUGUUCUGGUGGGGAAGGUUCGAGACAGGGUUUCUCUAUGCCUGGCUACCCUGGAACUCAAGACAUUAGCCUUCCUCUGCCUCCGAGUGCUGGAAUUAAAGGUCUAUGCCACCAUGCUUGUUUAUGAUGUGUUAGGGCUUUAAGCAAAGCUGGGACAUUGGUGGCACACACCUUUAAUCUCAGCUCUUGGGAGGCAGAGGCAGGUGGAUUUCUGUGAGUUCGAGGUCAGCCUGGUCUACAAGAGCUAGUACCAGAACAGGCUCCAAAGCUACAGAGAAACCCUGUCUCAAACCAAAAAGAAAAACUGCAAACAAAAGGGGGGAGUAAAGGACAGUCAGGGUAGAUCAUUGGGAUUUGCUGGUCUAGGAGGUGGUGCUUGUGUCCCCUUGCCUGCUAGGACAAGUUCUUUGCUAGCCCAGUCUGUGUCAGUAGUCCCGAUGUUAUUAACCCGUAAAUUGCUGUGUAUCACUUUCCAGAAUCUUAAAUAAAAGCUUUUCCUGUGCCAA